UACACAUGCAUACAAAUAACUCUUUUUAAUUGAUGAUCCAUAAAUAGUAUGAGAAUAAAAACACUUUUAUCAUCAACGUUGAUGAAUUAAUAUGGCGUGGCUCUGAUAUCAAUUGAAGGAAUCACAUCCCCGCAGCGGAAACUAGCACUACAACAAAAUUGGUCUUUGGUGGCGAAUUAAAUUCGUCUCAAAUUGCAUGUUUU
rnacentral:lncRNA from 1 species